rnacentral:rRNA from 1 species
AUUGAACGCUGGCGGCAUGCCUUACACAUGCAAGUCGAACGGUAACAGGUCUUCGGAUGCUGACGAGUGGCGAACGGGUGAGUAGUGCAUCGGAACGUGCCCAGUAGUGGGGGAUAGCCCGGCGAAAGCCGGAUCAAUACCGCAUACGACCUGAGGGUGAAAGGGGGGGAUCGCAAGACCUCUCGCUAUUGGAGCGGCCGAUGUCAGAUUAGCUAGUUGGUGGGGUAAAGGCCUACCAAGGCAACGAUCUGUAGUUGGUCUGAGAGGACGACCAGCCACACUGGGACUGAGACACGGCCCAGACUCCUACGGGAGGCAGCAGUGGGGAAUUUUGGACAAUGGGCGCAAGCCUGAUCCAGCAAUGCCGCGUGCAGGAAGAAGGCCUUCGGGUUGUAAACUGCCUUUGUCAGGGAAGAAAUCUUCUGGGUUAAUACCUCGGGAGGAUGACGGUACCUGAAGAAUAAGCACCGGCUAACUACGUGCCAGCCGCCGCGGUAACAC